AGUGGCGAACGGGUGAGUAAAGUAUCGGAACGUACCUUUCAGUGGGGGAUAACGCAGCGAAAGUUGCGCUAAUACCGCAUAUUCUGUGAGCAGGAAAGCAGGGGAUCACAAGACCUUGCGCUGAUUGAGCGGCCGAUAUCAGAUUAGCUAGUUGGUGAGGUAAAGGCUCACCAAGGCGACGAUCUGUAGCGGGUCUGAGAGGAUGAUCCGCCACACUGGAACUGAGACACGGUCCAGACUCCUACGGGAGGCAGCAGUGGGGAAUUUUGGACAAUGGGGGCAACCCUGAUCCAGCCAUGCCGCGUGAGUGAAGAAGGCCUUCGGGUUGUAAAGCUCUUUCAGCCGGGAAGAAAUCGCACAGGCUAAUACCUUGUGUGGAUGACGGUACCGGAAUAAGAAGCACCGGCUAACUACGUGCCAGCAGCCGCGGUAAUACGUAGGGUGCGAGCGUUAAUCGGAAUUACUGGGCGUAAAGCGUGCGCAGGCGGUUUUGUAAGACAGGCGUGAAAUCCCCGGGCUCAACCCGGGAACUGCGCUUGUGACUGCAAGGCUAGAGUACGGCAGAGGGGGGUGGAAUUCCACGUGUAGCAGUGAAAUGCGUAGAGAUGUGGAGGAACACCAAUGGCGAAGGCAGCCCCCUGGGUCGAUACUGACGCUCAUGCACGAAAGCGUGGGUAGCAAACAGGAUUAGAUACCCUGGUAGUCCACGCCCUAAACGAUGUCAACUAGGUGUUGGGUGGGUAAAACCAUUUAGUACCGGAGCUAACGCGUGAA
rnacentral:rRNA from 1 species